UUUUCCGUCCCUUGCAAACCUCCAUUUCCGAUUCAGAUUCAACACACACAAUCCUUCCUUCAAUCCUUCCUUCGGAGAUGGAAGAUAAAGAGAGAGCGAGCAGAGUUGACGAGUAAUAUGAGAGCCUAUCGCCUUUCCAGGAAAGCGCUGUAGCAUUAAGAAGAGCCUGCAAGAUGACGGUUGGAAGAGAGUGAUGUCAGGAUGUUACAUAAGGUGUAAGUUUAAGACAAAGAAGGUAUAUAUAAAUAUUUAUCAGCAUGCAGUAUCCAUCAAAGAAACUACCUAAUAGGGAGUCAAAUGGGAGAACCUAUAUAUAAAGAUGCAAUCACAAGAGAUAAUUCACUGCACCUAAUGAUCAAUAUAAAGGUAUCAAGGGGCCAAAUAAUCUAUUCUAGUUUGAUACGUGACCUUAAGCUACACAUAUGUUAAUCUAAGUUGAUACACAUUAUUAGAGUUCCUUUCACAAAGAGAAGGCAGCUCACACCCCAAAUUGCCACUAUAAUUUUUGUUCUACAUGGCCUUAAAUGCUUCAAUAUCAACCCACUGCACGCACAACAUACUUAGCAACAAGAGAACUUGAGAUUUGCAUGUAAUAGCAGAAACCAAGAGAAGCCAGCUUAGCACUAUAUGGUCCAAAUUAAGGUGAAACCUUAAACCCUUAAUAGUAAGGCUUGGCUAGAAAGUGCAGAGAACGUAUAUAAUCCAGUAACUCCAAUGAAACAGUCACCUGAAGCUUAGAUUGGACAUUAGAGGAAAGUUGGACUGUCAUUAUAAGUGAAGUCAAGCAAAUUAAGCAAACUAUACUUUGCUCCUUAGUGCUCCGAAAGGAGGUUCACAGCUCUUAUUGUGUAUGCAAAUGAUCAUCAUGACAGGAAAUAAUGAGGAAGUAAUAUGAUGGUUAAAAGCUUCAGUGCUAUGGGAUAACUUGCGAUAUUUAAAACCAGCGUGUUUUUCUCUUUGAGGAAGUAUUGGAUCUCCCAACAAAGACAGUCAUCCUAUAAUGUAAGCCAAUUGACACUCCAAUUACUCAAAAUCAUCACCUCUAUGAAAUGUUGAGCCCUUCUGCCGACAAGAUGAUAACCACACUUGAGAGGAACUUAUUUAUUUUUCACACAAUUGGAGGCGACUAAUAAAUUAUAAAGGAAGCACAUUUGGAGAGCAUGUCAUAAAAUUUUAAGGUACUUAAAACAACAUCACUUGACUGGUUAGCGGUGUGUAAUCCCUAAGGAUUGGUCUAACCUAGAGUGUUCGCUUGUUUUACUGUGCACUUUCUUGUGUUCAUAUUCUUGUAAUUUAGUUUUCUUUGGUGGGAGGAUUUCUCAUCCUUCUCUUGUACUUCUUUUUCUAUCAA